UACGUAGGGUGCAAGCGUUAAUCGGAAUUACUGGGCGUAAAGCGCACGUAGGCGGAUAUGUCAGUCAGGGGUGAAAUCCCGGGGCUCAACCUCGGAACUGCCUUUGAUACAGCAUAUCUUGAGUCCGAUAGAGGUGGGUGGAAUUCCUAGUGUAGAGGUGAAAUUCGUAGAUAUUAGGAAGAACACCGGUGGCGAAGGCGGCCCACUGGAUCGGUACUGACGCUGAGGUGCGAAAGCGUGGGGAGCAAACAGG
rnacentral:rRNA from 1 species